rnacentral:rRNA from 1 species
ACAGUGUCUGGUGGGUAGUUUGACUGGGGCGGUCUCCUCCUAAAGAGUAACGGAGGAGCACGAAGGUUGGCUAAUCCUGGUCGGACAUCAGGAGGUUAGUGCAAUGGCAUAAGCCAGCUUGACUGCGAGCGUGACGGCGCGAGCAGGUGCGAAAGCAGGUCAUAGUGAUCCGGUGGUUCUGAAUGGAAGGGCCAUCGCUCAACGGAUAAAAGGUACUCCGGGGAUAACAGGCUGAUACCGCCCAAGAGUUCAUAUCGACGGCGGUGUUUGGCACCUCGAUGUCGGCUCAUCACAUCCUGGGGCUGAAGUAGGUCCCAAGGGUAUGGCUGUUCGCCAUUUAAAGUGGUACGCGAGCUGGGUUUAGAACGUCGUGAGACAGUUCGGUCCCUAUCUGCCGUGGGCGCUGGAGAACUGAGGGGGGCUGCUCCUAGUACGAGAGGACCGGAGUGGA